rnacentral:rRNA from 1 species
AUGCAGUCGAGCGCGUGGCAACACGAGCGGCAGACGGGUGAGUAACGCGUGGGAAUCUACCAAGCUCUAAGGAAUAACGCAUGGAAACGUGUGCUAAUACCUUAUGCGCCCUAUUGGGGAAAGAUUUAUCGGGGUUUGAUGAGCCCGCGUUGGAUUAGCUAGUUGGUGGGGUAAAGGCCUACCAAGGCGACGAUCCAUAGCUGGUCUGAGAGGAUGAUCAGCCACAUUGGGACUGAGACACGGCCCAAACUCCUACGGGAGGCAGCAGUGGGGAAUAUUGGACAAUGGGCGCAAGCCUGAUCCAGCCAUGCCGCGUGAGUGAUGAAGGCCUUAGGGUUGUAAAGCUCUUUCACCGGUGAAGAUAAUGACGGUAACCGGAGAAGAAGCCCCGGCUAACUUCGUGCCAGCAGCCGCGGUAAUACGAAGGGGGCUAGCGUUGUUCGGAAUUACUGGGCGUAAAGCGCACGUAGGCGGACAUUUAAGUCAGGGGUGAAAUCCCGGGGG